AGUGGUGUUCUUUCCAGCGUAAACCGUGUCAAAGCCCAUUUGAAGAGCGAAGUUGUAACGCACCUUAUUCUUUAAAACAAUGUCGUUUUGGCGCAACAGUUUUAGGUUAAAACCAGUAAAGUCAAUUGAAUUUAAGUUGUAGUCAUUAAACAAGGAAGCCACAUUAUCGGCAAUGUUCAAACCACGGGGAGUUAACCGCGGAAAGUAAUCUUCCUGAAAGAAACUAAAGAAGUUUUCCGGCACUUUAGGGACAGUAAGCAUUGUCCUCUACGGGAAAGAUUUCGUUUGCCGCAUUAACUCGUUUUUGCAAGUCAUUGGCUACAUUAACUAAACUGCGUGCUGUUUGUUCAAAACCACUAAAGAGGUUGUAAACAUCUGUAAGUGUAAAAUGCUCUGGGUCAAUUGCUCGUUGGGCAAACCGUUUUUGGAAUUCACCAAAGUUUUGCGCUCAGUUAGUUUGCUUGGAAAGGUUUUCAUACUCAGCGUUACUUAAAGCAGUUUGCGCUUCAAUAAGAAUUUCUUACUGUUAUGCUUUUCAAAGCUACUGCUGUUUAAACUUACAGUUUGUGGAUCAGUAGCUGAGCCAUUUUGGGAAAAAGUGGGUACCACAAAAACACUAAAAGUUAGUGUUGCUGAAAGGAGCGAAAGCAAAAAUGAUUGCGUCUUGAAGUGGAAACUUUUAGUUGGUUUCAAUGUAAAGGUGUCAGUGUGACAGAAAAAGAUUGGUUUACUUUUAAAAAGUGAAAACUAAGACGACAGGGAAAAUUUAAAUUUAAUAAAUUUUAGUUUUUUCACCGAACAAAAAACGGUUUCAUCGGAAAAUGAAGCAUAAACGGCUCAAACAACUUUAAGAAUGUUUAAUGAUGCCUUGAUUACUGUUGAUUUAACUUCAACAGUUGGUAGUGUAAAUAACUCGCUAAAUCCACUACUGGCGGCUUUGUGGACUCGGUACGUAGUUCUAAGUUAUGGAGGUUUUGUGACUUAAUUAAUUCCAUGAAUUCUGGCUCUUGC
rnacentral:sRNA from 1 species